GGGGCAGUAGUGUAGUGGUAGCGCUAGUGUGAUGUGUCCAGCAGGUUGGGGGUUCGACUCCCUCUGCCCCC
rnacentral:tRNA from 1 species